rnacentral:lncRNA from 1 species
UAGCAUAGGUUUUGCUCCCUCCCCACAGGAUCUCCCCUGCCCAAUGACCCCUCCCAGCCACACCCUUGCUUCCUUGGCCACUAUUGAGUACAUCCCUCACCCAAAUAGGGCACGCCUGGCUCCCAUCACUAAUGUGAGUGAAAAGGGCAGGAAGCUUCUUGUGGAACUUGCCAGAGAUUCCCAACGGCCCCAUGAGACAAACCAAACUGUCAAAGACAUCAAGAAGGCUAAAAAACACAGAAAACGAAAGAAGGGGAAAGCCAUUGAGAGACAGCAGGAGAAGGUUGUGGGGGCCAAGGAGAAAAAGCACAUCAAAAAGGACAAAAUCAGUCUGAGGAAGAGAUUCCUUCAAUGGCUGCUACCUAAGAUGUGCUGUAUGAGGAAGUAAUGGAGAACGGCUACACACGCACAUACAUACAAACACACACACACACACACACACAUACACACACAAACAUACACACACAGCACACUUGCUAUGCAUACAUUACAUUUAUUCUUCCACUUAUAUUUGAUGGUAUAGUACAGGGGUUCCCUAACCUUUUGUUUCAGGCCCCACCUGUGCAUUUGAGUCACAGCUUGCGCCACCCUCCCGAAACCCGUCAUACAUGCUCUUAUAUAUUGCCCUAACACAGGCCUUAAUAUCUUGCGCUAACACAUAGGCCUUCAGAAAUUGGUUAGCAUUUUACUACAUACAUUUUAUUUCACAAUUGGUAGGCCUAACCUAAUACAUUUCCAUACUUAGAAUUAAUUACAUGGAUAAGUCUGUCGCUGGGAACACAGCUUUUGUAUUCUGGGCUAAUACCUGUACACAAGUAACAGGCAUUCCACUUCAUACACUUAUUCAACUUUGUAGG